rnacentral:tRNA from 1 species
GCGCCUAUGGCGGAACUGGCAGACGCGAAGGAUUUAGGAUCCUUUGGGAAACCGUGCAGGUUCAAGUCCUGUUAGGCGCA